rnacentral:ncRNA from 1 species
GAAAAUGCAUAGAUGAGGAAUAGUACACAAGAGAACGGAGCACAGAGAGCUGCUGGCCGGUGAGAAGCAGCGGAAGGGAUUUGUGGAACUCGCCUCGGAGCAUCUGCCUGAAAUCUUUAUAUAUUAUAUAAGAAAGUAGACGCAGACGGUGUCCGCCGUUAUCCGGAGAGGAUAUAAGGAUGUAUAUACAUUCCGUAUCUGUCAAGUGUGUGAAUUUUUAUUCAUGAAAUAAGAGUGGUACCGCGUAGGACAGCAGUUGUCUUUCGUCUCUUGC